UACGGAGGGUGCGAGCGUUGUCCGGAAUCACUGGGCGUAAAGCGUGCGCAGGCGGUUUUGUAAGUCUGACGUGAAAUCCCCGGGCUCAACCUGGGAAUUGCGUUGGAGACUGCAAGGCUGGAGUCUGGCAGAGGGGGGUAGAAUUCCACGUGUAGCAGUGAAAUGCGUAGAGAUGUGGAGGAACACCGAUGGCGAAGGCAGCCCCCUGGGUCAAGACUGACGCUCAUGCACGAAAGCGUGGGGAGCAAACAGG
rnacentral:rRNA from 1 species